GACGUCGAAUAUCGACGUCAUAAACACCAAAGUUGAUCGUGUUUAUGACGUCGAAUAUCGACGUCAUAAACACCAAAGUUGAUCGUGUUUAUGACGCCGAAUAUCGACGUCAUAAACACCAAAGUUGAUCGUGUUUAUACGUCGAAUAUCGACGUCAUAAACACCAAAGUUGAUCGUGUUUAUGACGUCGAAUAUCGACAUCAUAAACAUCUAAGUUUAUCGUGUUUAUGACGUCGAAUAUCGACGCCAUAAACACCAAAGUUGACCGUGUUUAUGACGUCGAAUAUCGACGUCAUAAACACCAAAGUUGAUCGUGUUUAUGACGUCGAAUAUCGACGUC
rnacentral:miRNA from 1 species